rnacentral:precursor_RNA from 15 species
UUAUUUGAGGUUAAAGUUCGCGCUUUCAGUAGUCCGUGAUGCGUGACAAUAUUUAGUUUUUUUCGAAUAUUGCACUAGUCCCGGCCUAUUGAGGGCGCGAGCAUCGCCGUCACGUGUGU